rnacentral:lncRNA from 12 species
AUGGGUACAAAUAUGAAUAAGAGAUCAUCUCUACUGUCAAGGAGCUCUAGUCAAGUGGGAAGGUGCAGGAAUGAGGCUGAAGUGUGGUAGAGACAAGACACAAAGGACCUUGUGUGUUGUUCUAAGGAGUUUGCAUGUGAUCCCACAGGGUCCCCUGGGUCCCAGGCUGGCCCCGCUCGUCCCCAGCAGCAGACGGGCCGCGGCCUAGUGUUCCGGGCGUGAUCCUUGCCACGCCGCAGCGCCAACCAGAUAGGUCUACCGAUAACAGCAUCCUAGGCAAAUCUGCCUCAACCCUGUCCUCUGAGAUCAUCAGCAAGAAGUGUGUUUACCAGGAUUCCAGUUCUGCAAAGGAGGCUCCUCAAAAGAAGGAAGCAUCCACCCACCUGAGAGACUCUGUGUCAGAGAGAACCCAGAGCUUGGACGGCAGCAUACUCGCUUCUCUCCAUGUCACCUUGUGCUCUAAGGUAAGGAAUACACUCCUGUUUCUAAAUUCACUUUGAUGAGCUGAUUUAUUUGUAAUCACCCCGAUCAAAGUCCUUCUUUGUAUUGAAGUUAAAAUCUUCUAUGCAGCCUAUAAUUCUCCUUCUCUUGGGCUGGUAGAAAGUUGGCCACCAUCCUCCUCUGUGUUGUCAUGGAAAACUGGAAUGCUUCAUGAUAGCUAAAAAGAAUUAAAUAGGUAUAUCCAGGAUUCAGAAAAGUAAACCAUAGCAAGUCAGACAAAGAG